CACAUCAUCCGGACGGGGAUGGAUACGUUGAUGGCUAAUGAAGAGUUUACCUUUUUUGCAGUGAUGCCUCACUUCCUGUGGAAACACAACAGGGAGCUGUAUAAAAGGCCCACCACCCCAGACCUCUGCAUUCAAACACUGGGAUCCACAACUCUCCAUUCACCACUGAACAAGGUUACCUUCCAGUCGCAAAGAUGGGUGCUGGCUGUUGUAGCUCUGCAGACCGUGGACCAAACGUCAUUUGUGUCCCCUGCGGCGGCGGCGGUGGCGGUGGCUGCAACUCGUGCUGUUCUCCCAUGAGCUACUCUUCCCCCAUGAGCUAUGGUGCUUGCCAGUGCUAUAGCUCUGGCGGCUGUGGCUGCUACAGUGGCGGCUGCAAUGGUGGCGGCUGCAAUGGCGGCUGCUCUAUCUACAUGGUCUCUAAUGGAAGAAGGUCCUCCUGCUGUGGUGGUUGCUGACACUUUGGACAUUCAACUCAGCCCACAGUAACAACAUGACCUGUGCGAUGUCUGGAAUAACCUCAGCACCAUCAACGUCCCUUUGAAGACCUGUUGGUUGAUCUCCUGUUCUCCUCUUUGCUAUGUCAUAAACCCUUAAGCUUUGCCCCUGCCACUUAUAAUAAUGCUCUUAUUAUCUUCUCUUUGAAAGAGCUUUUUUUUCUGCCACCAUGUCCUAAUAAAGCAAAGGAGGCAUGACUAUUGCAUAGACUUGGAUGAUUAGGCUUUCCCUUCUUCCCCUUCUUUCUAGGCUAUGGAAUUGUCUUGUCCUUCACACUGUUGCACAAAUAAUAAUAAUAAUAAAAUGAUUAUAAUGUU